rfam:Triticum aestivum genome assembly, contig: Triticum_aestivum_CS42_TGACv1_scaffold_178949_2DS
CUGAUACUCCCUCCGUCCGAAAAUACUUGUCAUCAAAAGGGAUGUAUUUAGAACUAAAAUACAUCUAGAUACAUCUCCUUUUAUCCAUUUUGAUGACAAGUAUUUCCGGACGGAGGGAGUACAAG